AUUGAACGCUGGCGGCAGGCCUAACACAUGCAAGUCGAGCGGAUGAAGGGAGCUUGCUCCUGGAUUCACCGGCGGACGGGUGAGUAAUGCCUAGGAAUCUGCCUGGUAGUGGGGGAUAACGUCCGGAAACGGGCGCUAAUACCGCAUACGUCCUGAGGGAAAAAGUGGGGGAUCUUCGGACCUCACGCUCUCAGUUAAGCCUAGGUCGGAUGAGAUAGUUGGUGGGGUAAAGGCCUACCAAGGCGACGAUCCGUAACUGGUCUGAGAGGAUGAUCAGGGACACUGGAACGGAGACACGGUCCAGAGCCCUACGGGAGGCAGCAGUGGGGAAUAUUGGACAAUGGGCGAAAGCCUGAUACAGCCAUGCCGCGUGUGUGAAGAAGGUCUUCGGAUUGUAAAGCACUUUAAGUUGGGAGGAAGGGCAGUAAGUUAAUACCUUGCUGUUUUGACGGUACCAACAGAAUAAGCACCGGCUAACUUCGUG
rnacentral:rRNA from 1 species